CACGAACAGAUGCAUACACACUAGCUAACAGACACACACAUUUACUGACAGAGACACACUCAGCGACAGACAUACAUACACACUCACUUACAAAACAUACACUUUCACUGACAAACACACACUCACUAACAGACAUCAAACACACUCAGUAACAGACACACACAGUAACACACUCACUAGCAGACACACACCCAAUAACAGACACAUUCACUGACACACACACUAACACACGCACUAACACAAACAAACACUGACACACUAACACACACUAACACACACACACACACUAACACACACACAC